rnacentral:rRNA from 1 species
GAUGAACGCUGGCGGCGUGCUUAACACAUGCAAGUCGAACGAAGCACUUUAUUUGAUUUCCUUCGGGACUGAUUAUUUUGUGACUGAGUGGCGGACGGGUGAGUAACGCGUGGGUAACCUGCCUUGUACAGGGGGAUAACAGUUGGAAACGGCUGCUAAUACCGCAUAAGCGCACGGCAUCGCAUGAUAGGGUGUGAAAAACUCCGGUGGUAUAAGAUGGACCCGCGUUGGAUUAGCUAGUUGGUGAGGUAACGGCCCACCAAGGCAGCGAUCCAUAACCGACCUGAGAGGGUGACCGGCCAUAUUGGGACUGAGACACGGCCCAAAUCUCCUACGGGAGGCAUCUGUGGGGAAUAUUGCACCAUGGGCGAAAGCCUGAUGCAACGACGCCGCGGUGAGCGAAGAAGUUAUUUCGGUAUGUAAAGCUCUAUCAGCAGGAAAGAUAAUGACGGUACCUGACUAAGAAGCACCGGCUAAAUACGUGCCAGCAGCCGCGGUAAUACGUAUGGUGCAAGCGUUAUCCGGAUUUACUGGGUGUAAAGGGAAGCGCAGGCGGUGCGGCAAGUCUGAUGUGAAAGCCCGGGGCUCAACCCCGGUACUGCAUUGGAAACUGUCGUACUAGAGUGUCGGAGGGGUAAGCGGAAAUUCCUAGUGUAGCGGUGAAAUGCGUAGAUAUUAGGAGGAACACCAGUGGCGAAGGCGGCUUACUGGACGAUAACUGACGCUGAGGCUCGAAAGCGUGGGGAGCAAACAGGAUUAGAUACCCUGGUAGUCCACGCCG